GAGGGGCAGUGGGGUAAGGUAAUUGAAGUAACUAGCCAGUAUUAAGAUUAGGCAUAAGCAUAAUAAACUGAUGCAUCCAAAGACGGUGAAUCUAGAAUAGAGGCCGGGUGGGGAAGCAAAAGAUGCAAGAGAGCCUUUUUAGAUUUUGCAACUGCACCAAGGAAUAAUAAAAAAGCACACAAAGUAGUAAGUAAGGAAUUAAUCCCAUUAUUAGGAAUCCAGUUAUUAGCUAUUUUGAAC
rnacentral:lncRNA from 1 species